AAUAGAUACCCUGGUAGUCCACGCCGUAAACGUUGGGCGCUAGAUGUGGGGACCUUUCCACGGUUUCCGUGUCGUAGCUAACGCAUUAAGCGCCCCGCCUGGGGAGUACGGCCGCAAGGCUAAAACUCAAAGGAAUUGACGGGGGCCCGCACAAGCGGCGGAGCAUGCGGAUUAAUUCGAUGCAACGCGAAGAACCUUACCAAGGCUUGACAUAACCGAGAACACCGUAGAAAUACGGGACUCUUUGGACACUCGGUUACAGGUGGUGCAUGGUUGUCGUCAGCUCGUGUCGUGAGAUGUUGGGUUAAGUCCCGCAACGAGCGCAACCCUCGUCGCAUGUUGCCAGCACGUCAUGGUGGGAACUCAUGUGAGACUGCCGGGGUCAACUCGGAGGAAGGUGGGGAUGACGUCAAAUCAUCAUGCCCCUUAUGUCUUGGGCUUCACGCAUGCUACAAUGGCCGGUACAAAGGGCUGCGAUGUCGUAAGGCGGAGCGAAUCCCAAAAAGCCGGUCUCAGUUCGGAUUGAGGUCUGC
rnacentral:rRNA from 1 species